UUCUGGUCCCAAACAGGAAGCAGAACAAUCCUAAAGUUAUUAAAGCAAAUACUUCAUAGCAGAACCUGAAUGUUGGCUGGCGUGUCACUCCAGGAAGUUCUGAUUAUAUAUGUAUUCAAUCAUGCUCAUCCAAUAAUAGGUUCAGAAACCUGUCUUGUUUUUUUAAACAUUUAUUUUAUCUAAGCAUUUCCUUUUUAUUUUUUUAAACAUUUCUUUCAAAAUACCUAUUACUCAUUGCGAUACUCAGUGAAAAUAUAGCUACCUAUGAAUGAAGUGGAUAAACAACUUCUGUAGACAGGGAACAAAAGAAAAAUCUAAAUAGUUUAAAUUCCUUAAAGGGUGUGUGUGUGUGUGUGUGUGUGUACUCUAGGGUACCUCAGUAUGUCCUGAAAGUUCAACAGAGUUUUUGUCAUGUUUGUUACUCCGGCUAGCAUAUUUUAGUUCUGUACAAGCAAAUGUUAAAUAGCAAAGCAAUAGUAUUAUUUUGUAUUUCCAUUUCCUUGGAAUCCUGGUAAUGGUCUAAAAAAAAAAAUCCUUGAAACUAAAGCUUUAAGAUGAAAGUUAGAAACUCUACUUAAGUAAAGGCUAAGAUUUAUUUAUCCCAGCCCUCGGGAGCUAAACCAGGAAUAAUAAGCAGAAUUUUCAGUGGGUUUUGAUUAAAUAUAAAGAAGAUGAAGUAUGAGUUGCCAAAUAGUGCAGUGGACAUGCAUACAGAGUUACAAACCUUCAACAUCUGGAAGCACUUAGGUGGGGGAUAUUUGACGAUCUUUAGGCAUGUCACUAGUAGGGACUCAAGAUCCGAAGGGGCUGUAAUUACAUUGUUAUUUUCUUUACAUCAUUUUGAAAAUGGCUUUGUCUCAUGGCAACAUUUGAUCUUUAAAAAUUCAUGAGAACCUUGAUUUCUUAAAACAUCAUUUUACACACAAGAAAGUUUAAAACAUUGGAGGGGGUGGUCUUUAGUUCUCAUUUAAAAAAUUUAAAACUAAGCACAGAUUCAAGAACUCAGAAAAGGAGAAAACAUAAGGAGAUAAAAAUUCAAAAUUCUUCUGGAAACAUUUUGGGUUUUGAUGAAUAUUUUUGGACAUUCUUAAGAAAAUCCAUAUAGGAAAUCUCACCAUUCUUUCAAUAUUAAAAAAAAAUUGCUGUGAUUUGAGAUUCUUAGAAUUAACUGUAACCUAAUCACAGAAGGAAAUUCUGUGCAGGGAUCUUUAGAAGCUAAGUAAAUGCUCUUGAAAAGCACCAUGGGAAAUCCCUUGGCUUCUGGUACCAGCAUGGUAAUUGCAAGGGAAGAAAUUCAGAACAAAACAGUGAGAUAGGUUUUCUCUCUGCUUCCAGUGUUCUAGUACCUGGAGGCCAGUGGUGUCUGAGCUGGCUGCCUUUGGUAGUGGGAGCAACUGGGACUCUCUUGUUUCUCAGCCCUUUGUUAAGACACACAUGUGGCUUACAAUAUAAAGUAAUUUAAAACAAUUAAACUAUUGUUUAUUAACAACUUCCCUACUUUUUUUUUAAAUCAGAGAUUUGAUAGUUUGAUGCAUUUUUGACAGUUCUGAACUUUUAUAUCUGAUACCAUUCCAUGCGGAGGAUAAUACAGGUAUGACAUUCCAAAUGAACAAACUGGGUCUUGACGUAGUGAAUUCAACUUGCACAGAAUCACACAGUUACAGGGUCCCCGUCAGAUUAGGAAGCUCUUGAAAUUUCAGACUAAUGUAUUCCAAAUUGAUGCUUUCUGGGAUAAUAGUUGUCCACCAUUGCCUUCAAUGGAGCUUUUAGAUCUGUUGUUCAGGUCUCCAUGAUACAAAGUUUCUCCAUUAAAAAAAAUAUAUCAGAGAUACCACAGCCAAGUUGAGUAGAACCAAGAGACAUCUUAAAUUUAGAAUUCCAGAGAUUGUUAUCCAGAGUCAUGCAAGCAAGAACAGAUUUCAAACACAAAAGUGUUCAAGGUUUGGAUACUGUGGUAGAUUUCAUGCAAAGAAGCUAGUUCUGAGAUUUGAUGAUGUCUCUAUUUUGUUUGAGAUCUCUCUCUCUCUCUCUCUCUCUCUCUCUCUCUCUCCCCCUCUCCCUUCCUUCUCCCCUCCCUCCCUCUCUCCCAUCCUCCCUUCCUUUCUCAAUGAAAAUACUAUUUUAUCUCCUUUGAAAGCUAAUAUUGUUUCAGAAUACAAUACCAAAAGGUGCUGAGAAUGGCCCUGUCAUUCGAAGCAUGAUUGAUCUGUUUAUGUGAGGGUGUAGGUUCAAAGUUCACCCUAUACAAUCACAUACAUAGACAUUAAGUAAGACACAAAUAGGAAACCAUGAUAAGCUUGAAGUGGAAAGAAUGCUAAUGUUCUCCCAUUCUGAUUGUAUAUUCUCCCAGCAGUGCCAAUGGGCAGACUGGUGAAUUUGUACAAGGGUAUCUGAUCCUGCAGGG
rnacentral:lncRNA from 1 species